GCCUGGUUGAGUUGUACUAGCCCAGAAUGUCUACUGAGGCUCAGUUUUUGACUAUAGAUCUUGUCCGGCUGAAAGAGGCAGCUCUCACAUGUCUUCUUUUGGCCCGUGAUCCAGUGAGGCUCCUGUUUGUCAGCAUGGUGAUAUUCUACUUCCAGGUGUCACGGGCUUUCUGAGAAGCAACAAGAUCCUCACUGUCCAAUACAGUAGCCAGCAGCCACGUGUGGCUACUGGGCAGUGGAAGUGUGCUGAGGCCAAAUGAAAAUGCUGCCUUCAACUGAUCGGGUGAGGCCCCACCUACCUUAGCGAGAGCAAUCUACUUUACUGAGUCUCCUGAUUCAAAUGUUCAUCUCAUCCAAAAACACCCUCAUGACAUACCCGGAAGAAUGUUUGGUCAAAUGUCUGGGCACCCUGUGGCCCAGUCAAGCUAACAUUUAAAAAUUAGCCGUCACAGAUGGUAAGAGUUAAAGUUGCCAUUGGACCAAGAGAUGGAAGCUACCGGCUGAAGUUGGCAUACCUGGUAGAUGAAAAAUCCUGGAUUCUCAGUGCUCUGCAGCAGCCAUGACAGCCCUGGAAGCUUCCAUGAGGAAACUAAACUUAGAGAUUUUUAAAAAAUGUAUUUUAUUGAAGUAUAGUUGAUUUACAUAAACUUAUCACUCUUUAAAGCCAUUCUUAUUUUAUUUUCUGUUACCACCUUUUAAGUAAUAUCACAAUUAUAUUUUUCCUUUUUGGUUCUUGAAUAUACGGGCUUUGUUUAAAAGGAGUCAGAGUGAAGAAAAAACAUUAAAUUCUUUUGGAAAUGUUAUAGAUUUUUUUUUUCCUAUAUGUGUGACAGUUUGAGGGCUGAAGAUGUGGAUAAAAAAGAGAUCUGUGGGAAAAAAGACCUGUGUUUCCUUUAUGUCCUUUAAGAUAGUUUAUAAGGGUGUUUUGCCAACUAUAAAAUAGAAUGUGAUGUAGGGACAAAAUUCUGUCUGUAAUUCCUAGAUCUUCCUUUCUUAAACUGGUGAAGAGGUAGUUACAGAAGCACCAUGUUGUGGUCUUUGAGCCAACACUGGCUCUGCCUGCGAGUUGAAAUAUUUGUUCUGAGUAAUCUCACCCUGCAGUGUUGAGGUUUACCUGUGUGUUUACUUUUUAUUAGACAUGUACCAAUCUGACUUGUUUGAGUUUUAUUGGCACUUAUAACCAUGAGAAGAUCACUGAUUCAUGACAGCAGAAUUUUUGAUGAUUCAUUCAAUUCAUUAAUCAAAAUGAUUAGUUCAGCAAUGAUUGCAUUAGAGAAUUAGUAACUAACUUAUCUCUUCUUAUUUAAAGGCACCUGAAUUACUUGGUAUCAAGGCACUGCAACAUUUAUAUUUAUUGAAAUAUAAUUUACACAAAAUAGAAUACACACGUCUUGGGUGUUGCAGUGAGUUUUGACAAUUGUAUAAACCCAUGCAACCUCUGUCUAUAUCACAAAGAGUGGACUGGAAGGAAGCAA